GUGUAUAUCGUACAGGAGCUCUGUAUAUAUUAUAGCUAUAUAUCGUACAGGAGCUCUGUAUAUAUUAUAGCUAUAUAUCGUACAGGAGCUCUGUAUAUAUUAUAGCUAUAUAUCGUACAGGAGCUCUGUAUAUAUUAUAGCUAUAUAUCACACAGGAGGUCUGUAUAUAUUAUAGCUAUAUAUCGUACAGGAGCUCUGUAUAUAUUAUAGCUAUAUAUCACACAGGAGGUCUGUAUAUAUUAUAGCUAUAUAUCGUACAAGAGGUCUGUAUAUAUUAUAGCUAUAUAUCACACAGGAGGUCUGUAUAUAUUAUAGCUAUAUAUCAUACAGGAUUGCUUAUAUUAUACUUAUAUGAUAGGCAGAUAAUUUAUACCGCUU